rnacentral:rRNA from 1 species
UACGGAGGAUCCAAGCGUUAUCCGGAUUUAUUGGGUUUAAAGGGUGCGUAGGCGGCCCUAUAAGUCAGUGGUGAAAGUAUGCAGCUCAACUGUAUAACUGCCAUUGAAACUGUAGGGCUUGAGUAUGGACGAGGUACAUGGAAUGUGUAAUGUAGCGGUGAAAUGCAUAGAUAUUACACAGAACACCGAUUGCGUAGGCAGUGUACCAGGGCAUAACUGACGCUGAGGCACGAAAGCGUGGGGAUCAAACAGG